rnacentral:tRNA from 1 species
GGGGCUGUAGCUCAAUCGGGAGAGCGUUUGACUGGCAGUCAAAAGGUAGGGGGUUCGAAUCCCCCCAGCUCCACCA